UACGUAGGUGGCAAGCGUUGUCCGGAUUUACUGGGCGUAAAGAGCGCGCAGGCGGUCGGAUUAGUCGCGUGUGAAAGCCCCCGGCUCAACUGGGGAGGGUCACGCGAUACUGUUCGACUGGAAGGCAGGAGAGGGAAGUGGAAUUCCCGGUGUAGUGGUGAAAUGCGUAGAUAUCGGGAGGAACACCAGUGGCGAAGGCGACUUCCUGGCCUGUUCUUGACGCUGAGGCGCGAAAGCUAGGGUAGCAAACGGG
rnacentral:rRNA from 1 species